rnacentral:rRNA from 1 species
CCUACGGGAGGCUGCAGUGGGGAAUAUUGCACAAUGGGCGCAAGCCUGAUGCAGCCAUGCCGCGUGUGUGAAGAAGGCCUUCGGGAUGUAAAGCACUUUCAGCGGGGAGGAAGGCGGUGAGGUUAAUAACCUCAUCGAUUGACGUUACCCGCAGAAGAAGCACCGGCUAACUCCGUGCCAGCAGCCGCGGUAAUACGGAGGGUGCAAGCGUUAAUCGGAAUUACUGGGCGUAAAGCGCACGCAGGCGGUCUGUCAAGUCGGAUGUGAAAUCCCCGGGCUCAACCUGGGAACUGCAUUCGAAACUGGCAGGCUAGAGUCUUGUAGAGGGGGGUAGAAUUCCAGGUGUAGCGGUGAAAUGCGUAGAGAUCUGGAGGAAUACCGGUGGCGAAGGCGGCCCCCUGGACAAAGACUGACGCUCAGGUGCGAAAGCGUGGGGAGCAAACAGGAUUAGAUACCCCGGUAGUC